ACUUGGCCUGAUUGCAGGAGGUUAUAUAAAAGGAGAGCUGGGCUCCUCCCUGGAGAGGACAAAAGGAGGCAAGAGAAGAAGAAGAAAUGCUGCUUGUUUUUAAGACUGGAACAUGGAGAGUGGGACAGUGUCCAUUCAACUGCCUUGAAACUUGCCUGAAACAUGGCUUUCUGCUUUCUCCUCCAUGUCUGAUUGCUCCCCAAGGAAAGACCAUAAUUUGGGAUAAGUUCUGCUCUCCAACAGACUUAUCGUGUGGGGAUGGUAUUUCUGAGCUUGUGCGUCUGUAAGGCCAUGCACUCUACUGUGCUGAAUCCAAGAGAAGACUUCCAAGUGAUUGCCAGCGAUUGGCUGGGGAGCUUGGAGACCUGAAUCAAAACCUGAAGCUGUCAACUUGCUGAAGUAGUGUCUACACAAAGCUGGACUGCACCAACAGUUCCCCAUUUUCAGCUUCUCUGUGGCCGAGGGAAGCUGAGUGCUGCAGGAAUCUGAGUGGCGACUCUGGACCCCUAAGCUUUAUCCAGGGAUUUCUCAACAUCACCUGCCCAGUUUACUAAGGGAGAGGGUGGUGACGAGGCAGUAGCUGUGAGGCAAGACGAGCAUUGGGGAUGUUGUGAGCUGGACAUGGGAGGACAGUGAUGCCAGACUGAGCACACUAAGCACUAGGAGCUGCGCUCAGACCAAAAGCAGGGACCCACCCUGGACCUAGCAACAUCAAAUGGAGUUACUGCCCUGUGCUGUCACCUGUGCUUGCCACCAGAUGUGAUGCAAGAGAAGCCACAAAUGACUUCUGUGAUGCCUUCAGGCCAAAGAGAAGGUCAUGGCCUAAAAGUGGUAACCUUCCAGAAGAGACUCUGGGCUUGCCUGUGGUAAAAUGCAAUGAUGAGCGUCAUGGGGAAAGGUAUGUGAUGGUGUAAUAUCUGUCCAUGUAAUGGAAGGCUGGAUGGGUACAAGCAAUGAAAUUGGAAAUCAAUCCCAAAUCCUGCCGAAUCCAGGAGACCUUCACACCCAUGAAGGCACUGCUGCUGAGUCGGGCCAAUGGCUGUGUGCACACCCAAGAAAUACACACGUGCUGAUAGAAAACAGAUUUAAAAGGUACCUAAAAUAAUAGCUUUUUAAGACAGUCUUACGGUCACAUAACUUGUUGGGAAAAGCAUACCAUGGCUCCCAGUCUGAAUUAAACAUUGUCAUUGUGGUAUAGAAGAAGGUGCAUGCUCAAGAGUUGUUAUUUGACUGGGUUGCUGAAGACAGCAAGUCACUGACAGAGCAGCAGGAAUUAUCAGAAGAUGAGGAUCUGCCACCCUGUUUCUUUUGUGCUAACCACCAACAGCUGGAGACCAGGCCGAAGAGAGAGAAGAGAAGCACGUCUCAAGGAAGCAUGUGCUUAAGCAUGAAGAUGAACAAAGCUUCCAGGGGAAAGCUAUUCAGAUCAACUAUGGCUAUACCACGUCCAUGUCUAUCCAUCGUACUUUCCAAAUAUUUUGAUAAAAUCAAAGAGAGCCAUUGAGAUAAAGUUUAAAGGGAAGAGCUUUCUGGUGAAUAACUCGAAAUUAACAGGCUCUUCCUGCUGUGCAAGGCAGUGACAAGCUGAAGAUGGAGCUUGCACGUCGUAGGAGCAGAACGUAAGGAUUCCGCCAGGUUUUAAUGCAACAUACCUGCUAUUUUGACUUGGUCUUCUUCUAAUCAAACUGGAGAUGUUUAGCUAGAAACUCCUUUCCCUGUUAUUUCAAAGGCAGCCCAAGCACAGCAUCAGUGUCUGCUGAGGAUAGUUUGGGCAUGGAUGGUAGAGACCAAGGCCAGAUGAAAAUGUGCAUAGUGGGAACACAGCCCUCACCUUGUAAUGGAUGCAGCCACUUGAAAACUUGUGCCACGUGUGAACAGUGCACAUAUUGUGCUCCCACCAGGCAGAGCUGACCCUACUUCGAUUUGCUGUUUUCCUUCGUUAUCUGCCCAUUCUAAUGGAAGUCUGCAGCACAUCAUGGACGUGAAGUGUAGAGCAUCAGGUGUUCACAGCUUCCCAUUGCGAAGUGAAGGUGUUGGGAGCACCUUGUCUUCAGGACAAAAACAGCAGAACAGUGCUGCGAUGACAUGAAGCUGAGAGCUGAGCCCACGCAGGGCACUGGGGAGGGUCACAGGGAGU